rnacentral:rRNA from 1 species
AGAACGAACGCUGGCGGCAUGCCUAACACAUGCAAGUCGAACGGGACCUUCGGGUCUAGUGGCGCACGGGUGCGUAACGCGUGGGGAUCUGCCCUUAGGUACGGAAUAACUCAGGGAAACUUGAGCUAAUACCGUAUAAUGACUUCGGUCCAAAGAUUUAUCGCCUAGGGAUGAACCCGCGUAGGAUUAGCUUGUUGGUGAGGUAAAGGCUCACCAAGGCGACGAUCCUUAGCUGGUCUGAGAGGAUGAUCAGCCACACUGGGACUGAGACACGGCCCAGACUCCUACGGGAGGCAGCAGUGGGGAAUAUUGGACAAUGGGCGAAAGCCUGAUCCAGCAAUGCCGCGUGAGUGAUGAAGGCCUUAGGGUUGUAAAGCUCUUUUACCCGGGAUGAUAAUGACAGUACCGGGAGAAUAAGCUCCGGCUAACUCCGUGCCAGCAGCCGC